GACGAACGCUGGCGGCGUGCUUAACACAUGCAAGUCGAACGAUGAAGGAGAGCUUGCUCUCCGGAUUAGUGGCGAACGGGUGAGUAACACGUGACUAACCUGCCCCUUUCUCUGGGAUAACGCUCCGAAAGGAGUGCUAAUACCGGAUACGAACUCUGAACACAUGUUCGGAGUUGGAAAGUUUUUCGGAAAGGGAUGGAGUCGCGGCCUAUCAGCUUGUUGGUGAGGUAAUGGCUCACCAAGGCGACGACGGGUAGCCGGCCUGAGAGGGCGACCGGCCACACUGGGACUGAGACACGGCCCAGACUCCUACGGGAGGCAGCAGUGGGGCAUAUUGCACAAUGGGCGAAAGCCUGAUGCAGCGACGCCGCGUGAGGGAUGAAGGUCUUCGGAUUGUAAACCUCUUUCAGUAGGGACGAAGCGAAAGUGACGGUACCUAAAGAAGAAGCACCGGCUAACUACGUGCCAGCCGCCGCGGUAA
rnacentral:rRNA from 1 species